rnacentral:rRNA from 1 species
CUGCUGCCUCCCGUAGGAGUCUGGGCCGUGUCUCAGUCCCAGUGUGGGGGGCCUUCCUCUCAGAACCCCUACGCAUCGUCGCCUCGGUGGGCCGUUACCCCGCCGACUAGCUAAUGCGCCGCAUGCCCAUCCGUGGCCGGGAUUGCUCCCUUUGGCGGCCUUGGGAUGCCCCAAGGCCGCGUUACGCGGUAUUAGACGGGGUUUCCCCCGCUUAUCCCCCUGCCACGGGCAGGUUGCAUACGUGUUACUCACCCGUGCGCCGGUCGCCGGCAACGG